rnacentral:rRNA from 1 species
CCGGGUGUACCUAAAGUCGGUAACCGGUAAGGAGCCGCCUAGGGUAAAACCGGUGACUGGGGCU